rnacentral:lncRNA from 1 species
AAGUUUGCUGGCCAAACCUAGGGGGAGAGGUUUUGAUCACGGGUUUUGUUAGAUUUCAUGCUAUAUACGCGUUUUUAGUUGUUUUGUGAUAUUCGGUGUGAAAAACAAGCCUGAAAACCAUAUGUUCUUCAUCAAACCCUCCUUGGCCAAAUUUACUAAAGAACAUAUUGAUGAUGAAUCUUGUUAUAUCUCAUGUUAUUUAACUCGUAUUUGAUGAAUUGUGGUGCCGGAUAUUGAAAACGGUU